rnacentral:rRNA from 1 species
UACGGGGAGCAGCAGGCGCGAAAACUUCACACUGGGGGCAACCCCGAUGAGGGAAUUCCUAGUGCUAGCGCUUUUUGUGCUAGCUUUUCUUCAGUAUAGAUAGCUGGAGGAAUAAGGGCUGGGUAAGACGGGUGCCAGCCGCCGCGGUAAU